AGCCAUGUCUCAGUCCAUCAGAGCACAAUGGUUUUAACAGAGGAACAUCCAAGAAGGAACUUUAACUGAAGAUUAUCUUUACUACUUUCCAGAUAUAUUUCCUGGAAUUAUUAACCUCGAUGUCUACUUACAAGGAUGGAGAUAAUCCUUAGCAUUUUGGAUCCUCUCUUCCCCAGUCUGGUGGAUAUCUAUGGAUAUUAUUUUGCUUUGAAUUCAUAUAUAUUUGAUUUGAGACCAAGGAUAGAGAGUCGUUAGAGAACAGAACAAUGUUGUGCAGUUGGAGCAAUGGAGGUAACGACAAACCAAGGACGUGUGGAUGUCCUUCCCUGUGUGACACGUGGCUGGCUGCUGGGGGCCCUGUUUCCACAACAGCACACCUCGGUGGCAGAGAAGGAGGAGAAGGAUGGUGGCCUGGGUGGCCUGGGUUCCGGAGCAGGGUGACAGCAACAGAACUGUGCGCUGCUCUCUCUGUUUACCAAACAAGCCUCAUAGGACAGCUCUGUUUUAGUAAACAGCAUGGUGGGUGGAUUGAGUUGGACCUUCAGGUUUGGCAUGAAGGUUGAUCUCUGAUAGAACCUGUCUUCUUCAGAAUGACCUUCAUUCUGUGUGUGUUAAGAAAUCCAGACAUUUUUUUUCAUAUUUGUCAGUUUGUCCCAUCUGUCCUCCACCACAUCCCUCAUAGCCCUCCCUUCCCAGCCAUGACCAGCCUAGCUGAACCUCUGGCACGUUACAACUGUAGUUGGUUGGACAAAGACUCAGAGUAUUUCACAUGACCGUGUCUUUUGGAUGUUAUCUUAAAUAACAAUCAUAAUUUGCUUACAUUUGUCCUGUUACACACUUGUGUAAGUGUCCAAUGGAAGUGUCCAAUGGAAAUGUGUUUCUGCAUAUCCCAACUCCCACUGAGACACCCGCAGGGAGUUGGGUCCUGCCCAGGGUCACCAUAUCCCAACUCCCCCUGAGACACCCGCAGGAAGUGGGGUCACGGCCAGGGUCACUAUAUCCCAACUCCCCCUGAGACACCCGCAGGGAGUGGGGUCCUCCCCAGGGUCACCAUAUCCCAACUCCCCCUGAGACACCCGCAGGGAGUUGGUCAUGGCCAGGGUCCUGUCUGGUUGUGACGGUGAUGGGGAUUAGGAUGUUGUUAUCCAAAACAAGACAUAUAAACCCAAAGUAGGGACACAAUGGACCUGUAGGCCUACAGUUAAUGGGUAAAUUGUGACUGACUGACUGACUGACUGACUGACAAACAAAUAAUAAUGAUUAGUUGUUUAUGAUGCAAGGUUCGUUUAAGAUCAGUCGGUCGGCCAUCGCCCGUACUGUCGGCUGCCAUGUCGAACUUGCUGCUUGACUCUCUUUCUCUGUCAGGCCACCUCCUCCUGUGGCAUGCCUUAUGAAACACAUGCAAUCGUGUCAUUCCCCUAGCCCUCUCCCUCACCUCUCUGUGCUGCGAGCUGGAUGACUCAUUUAGAGUUUGGCUUUGUCCGUGUGUAUGUUUAUUGUGUCAACAGUGCACCUGCUGCCUGCCUCCUCCUCCCUAAUUCACCGUAGCACGCGCCAUAACCUAACACGUGCCGUUUCCCCUAAUCUCCUCACUUACUGAGAGUACAACUCUGCCCCAGGUCACACUGCUGGGCACCCCAACAUCACCCAGCAUGUUAACUCUCUGUUAACCACCUGACUCCACACGCCCCCAUCUAGCAUGUUAACUCUCUGUUAACCACCUGACUCCACACGCCCCCAUCUAGCAUGUUAACUCUCUGUUAACCACCUGACUCCACACGCCCCCAUCUAGCAUGUUAACUCUCUGUUAACCACCUGACUCCACACGCCCCCAUCUAGCAUGUUAACUCUCUGUUAACCACCUGACUCCACACGCCCCCAUCUAGCUAACACUUUGCUCAAGAUGGGGAUCAAGUUUUAUACUUGAUCUAGUCUCUCUUCCCCUCUCUCAACCCCUAUCUGUUUCUCUCUCUCUCCAUCUCUCUCACUGCCUCUCUCUCUUUGUUUCUCUCCGUCUCUCUCUCUCCAACUCUCUCUCUAUAUUUCUCACCGUCUCUUUCUCUCCCUCUCUCUCACUCUCUCUCUAUAUUUCUCUCCAUCUCCCUCUCUCCCUCUCUCCCUGCAGUAGAGUCAGUUUAUCAGGCAGGUGUGUGGAUGUCUGCAGUGAGCGAUGGAGCAGGUGUAGUGGGAGAUUUAUUGAUUUUAAUCACAUUCUGUUGAGCAAUAGUUCCCAGCCCCAGGCGUAAGGCAUGCAGGUCCUCAGACCGCCGGUACCCAUAUGAAUAAAGGGUGAUGGGCAGGCAUAGCACCUCUGUCACUGUCCACAAAGACACAGGAUCAGGGGGAGUGUGUAGUUUAAUGGAAGGGAUCCUGUAAACGACUUAGGGCUUGAUUCAAUCCAUAUCGCGGGAGAUCUGUGUCAAAAUGUAGAGGUCAUUUUACCUUGAAUGCAGUCUCCACGAAUGCAAUCGAGCUAUAACGGAAAUCUUCUGCGAUAUGGAUUGAAUUCAGCCAGUAGCCCUUUCCUGCAGUCAAUUGACUUAGCGGCUUCAUGGGUGGAAUGUUAAUAUUUUUCAUAAUUAAUACAUUUUUUGUUGUUGCAUAAAAUCUGUUGUUUCUAUGUCAAACGGUUUUGUUAUUUUUCAGUCUUACGUGGUGUAUAUCAAGUGUAAUAUUGGGAUGCAAACUGAAAAUGUAAUACAUUUCAACUCUAUAUCUGACAUGGCACAUGUUAAGCCCUUGACAAUGUGUGUGAGGUCUAUACUUUUGUUUUUUUGUCAGUUUAAACUGGUUAAAAUGUUUUCUUAAACUGCCUCCUGUGCUGUCAGUCAUAUAUUUCAGUCAAAUACUAAAUCAAUUUCAUUACAAUUUGACAUUUUUUUUCUGUACUUGUGUGCACUUGUGUUCUUAUGCACCUGUGUAGGUGUGUGUAAAAGCAGGUUAUAGGGGUGUCAGUGUGCAAACAGAACAGCCUUGAGGCGACCUGUUCUUGCUAUCUCUGGGGGCUUGUGGGGGCUUGUUCUCAGAUCCCUCACCGUUCAUAAACUCCUGUCAGCUCCAACAGUUCACACCUGAGUGCACCGAAAAUGUCCAAUCUUGACUUGCGAUCUGAUAAAAUCUUCUGUUUCAGCAACGGACAUGACCACAGAAAGCUAGCUACUAAUAAAAUGCUUGUCUCUGUU